rnacentral:rRNA from 1 species
GAUGCCAGCUUGCUGGUGGAUUAGUGGCGAACGGGUGAGUAACACGUGAGUAACCUGCCCUUAACUCUGGGAUAAGCCUGGGAAACUGGGUCUAAUACCGGAUAUGACCUUCCAUCGCAUGGUGGUUGGUGGAAAGCUUUUUGUGGUUUUGGAUGGACUCGCGGCCUAUCAGCUUGUUGGUGAGGUAAUGGCUUACCAAGGCGACGACGGGUAGCCGGCCUGAGAGGGUGACCGGCCACACUGGGACUGAGACACGGCCCAGACUCCUACGGGAGGCAGCAGUGGGGAAUAUUGCACAAUGGGCGCAAGCCUGAUGCAGCGACGCCGCGUGAGGGAUGACGGCCUUCGGGUUGUAAACCUCUUUCAGUAGGGAAGAAGCGAAAGUGACGGUACCUGCAGAAGAAGCGCCGGCUAACUACGUGCCAGCAGCCGCGGUAAUACGUAGGGCGCAAGCGUUAUCCGGAAUUAUUGGGCGUAAAGAGCUCGUAGGCGGUUUGUCGCGUCUGCCGUGAAAGUCCGGGGCUCAACUCCGGAUCUGCGGUGGGUACGGGCAGACUAGAGUGAUGUAGGGGAGACUGGAAUUCCUGGUGUAGCGGUGAAAUGCGCAGAUAUCAGGAGGAACACCGAUGGCGAAGGCAGGUCUCUGGGCAUUAACUGACGCUGAGGAGCGAAAGCAUGGGGAGCGAACAGGAUUAGAUACCCUGGUAGUCCAUGCCGUAAACGUUGGGCACUAGGUGUGGGGGACAU